rnacentral:rRNA from 1 species
AUUGAACGCUAGCGGGAUGCCUUACACAUGCAAGUCGAACGGCAGCACGGACUUCGGUCUGGUGGCGAGUGGCGAACGGGUGAGUAAUGUAUCGGAACGUGCCCAGUAGCGGGGGAUAACUACGCGAAAGCGUAGCUAAUACCGCAUACGCCCUUAGGGGGAAAGCAGGGGAUCGCAAGACCUUGCACUAUUGGAGCGGCCGAUAUCGGAUUAGCUAGUUGGUGAGGUAAUGGCUCACCAAGGCCGCGAUCCGUAGCUGGUUUGAGAGGACGCCCAGCCAAACUGGGACUGAGACACGGCCCAGACUCCUACGGGAGGCAGCAGUGGGGAAUUUUGGACAAUGGGGGAAACCCUGAUCCAGCCAUCCCGCGUGUGCGAUGAAGGCCUUCGGGUUGUAAAGCACUUUUGGCAGGAAAGAAACGGCGCGUGUUAAUACCAUGCGCAACUGACGGUACCUGCAGAAUAAGCACCGGCUAACUACGUGCCAGCCGCCGCCGUAA